AAGGGUUAAAUGCCUUUUCCUGUGUUGGACUGUCACUGUCAGACCUGAGGUGAAUUUUGUAAAAGCAAUGUGAGAGACUAUAUGUGGAAAUCCAAAGUCUGCCUUAAGCCUGAUUUAAUAUGCAUUCUUUUAAACAUAGAAAUAACAUGUGAAACACUUGCAGUGACAGUUCUGCUGGGGAUGAGGACGAUGUCUGGGUUUUUCAGCUGUUGCCCUGUGUGAGGUUUUGUCAAACACUAUUUAAGCUAUCAUAGAAUGUUUUGUAGAAUUUUUUUCAUUUCCCCUUAAA